UACAGAGGGGGCAAGCGUUAUUCGGAAUUAUUGGGCGUAAAGGGCGCGUAGGCGGCCUGGCAAGUGGAAGGUGAAAUCCCUCGGCUUAACCGAGGAACUGCCCUCCAAACUGCUUGGCUUGAGACCGGGAGAGGUGAGUGGAAUUCCCAGUGUAGCGGUGAAAUGCGUAGAUAUUGGGAGGAACACCAGUGGCGAAGGCGGCUCACUGGACCGGUACUGACGCUGAUGCGCGAAAGCGUGGGGAGCAAACGGGG
rnacentral:rRNA from 1 species